AUCAUAAUGGCCGAAAAUCUAAGGUUUCCUGAGGAAGGUUCGUCCGCUCAGGGUAAGCCGGGGGCUAAGGCGAGGCGGAGACGCGUAGCCGAUGCACAUACGGUUGAAAUUCCGUAGCCACCGAAAGAUUUAAGUACAGGGACGCUUUAGAAGUGAUGUUGCCGGGCGAUGGUUGACCCGGUCGUAAGGGAUCGAAAAUGAGUAGAGAAGUCAUCAUGGAAAGAGACAAGAAAAGCUGUAUGAAUAUCUUAGGUGCCCGUACCGCAAACCGACACAGGUAGAUAGGAAGAAGAUUCUAAGGCCAACGGGAGAAGGGUUGUUAAGGAACUCGGCAAGUUGACCCCGUAACUUAGGGAUAAGGGGUGCUCAAGUGAUUGAGCCGCAGAGAAUAGGCCCAGGCGACUGUUUAGAAAAAACACAGGUCUCUGCUAAAUCGAAAGAUGACGUAUAGGGGCUGACACCUGCCCGGUGCCGGAGGGUUAAGAGGAGAUGUGAGAGCAUUGAAUUGAAGCCCCGGUAAACGGCGGCCGUAACAAUAACGGUCCUAAGGUAGCGAAAUUCCUUGUCAGGUAAGUUCUGACCCGCACGAAAGGUGUAACGAUCUGGGCACUGUCUCAACAACCCGCCCGGCGAAAUUGUAGUACCGGUGAAGAUGCCGGUUACCCGCGACUAGACGGAAAGACCCCAUGGAGCUUUACUGUAGCCUAAUAUUGGAUUUCGGUAUUUCACGUACAGGAUAGGUGGGAGACUGGGAAGCACAGGCGACAGCUUGUGUGGAGUCGACCUUGGGAUACCACUCUUGGAGUGCUGGAAUUCUAACCUGCGGCUUUGAAGCAAGUCGGGGGACAUUGUUAGGUGGGCAGUUUGACUGGGGCGGUCGCCUCCUAAAGAGUAACGGAGGCGCUCAAAGGUUCGCUCUGCAUGGAUGGAAACCAUGCGUCAGAGUGUAAACGCAAAAGCGAGCCUAACUGCGAGAAUGACGGUUCGAGCAGUAACGAAAGUUGGAGUUAGUGAUCCGGCGGUAUGUGAAUGGAAAUGCCGUCGCUCAACGGAUAAAAGCUACCCUGGGGAUAACAGGCUGAUCUCCCCCAAGAGUCCACAUCGACGGGGAGGUUUGGCACCUCGAUGUCGGCUCAUCGCAUCCUGGGGCUGAAUUCGGUCCCAAGGGUUUGGCUGUUCGCCAAUUAAAGCGGUACGCGAGCUGGGUUCAGAACGUCGUGAGACAGUUCGGUCCCUAUCUGUCGUGGGCGUAGGAUAUUUGCAAGGAGCUGUCCCUAGUACGAGAGGACCGGGAUGGACGCACCUCUGGUGCACCAGUUGUCACGCCAGUGGCACAGCUGGGCAGCUAUGUGCGGAACGGAUAAACGCUGAAGGCAUCUAAGCGUGAAGCCGCCCUUAAGAUAAGAUAUCCCUUCUGUCUACAGAGUAAGACCCCUUGAAGACUACAAGGUUGAUAGGCUCAAAGUGUAAGCACGGUGACGUGUUUAGCUAGCGAGUACUAAUCGGUCGAGGGCUUAACCUU
rnacentral:rRNA from 1 species